rnacentral:snRNA from 1 species
GGAUGUGAGGGCUAUCUGGCCGUGACAGCUAUCAUCCCUUUGAUCUCUAGGGUUGAGUCCACUGAUCUGCCUGGUUAGGUGGGUGUCCCCUUUCUCCCUCACCCCUCCAUGUCUGUCCCUCAUUGACUUUCCUGGAAUAGAAGUGGCCCUAUUUUUGAAUAAGGGUAUAGAAGCUGUACUCCCCUGCAAGGACAUCCAAACAAGCUCUCAGAGAAAAAUGGGUGCUGCUAUCCCGAGGAACUAAGCAUUCUAAUUUCAGGCAUGAUCUUUAAAAAGUACUUUUGCUAA